GCUAGGGCUACUUGGAACCUCCUUCACUCCUUUUCAUGACUGCUUCUCCUGGUGUGAGGUCUGUCUGUCACCUUUCCUGAAAUGGUACAGCCUGCAACAGAUCACCAAGUGAGCAGAGCAGUGUCAAGGAAGCAGACUCAAAGGAGAGAAGUGAUGAACAGCAGUCUCCUGAUCAAACAAAGACAUGUCACUUUGGUCAUGACAAUAUGCAUUCAAGUUUCUGUAUUUUGUUGUAAUAGCAUGAGGAUCCAUGACAUCCCAAUCCCAUCUCCUGCCCCUCCAACUUGUUGCUUCCUACUUUGAACACUUUAGCGGCAAAGACAAAUAAUUACUUUUACCUUUUUAGUUCAA